AUUGAACGCUGGCGGCAGGCCUAACACAUGCAAGUCGAGCGAGCGGCGGACGGGUGAGUAAUGUCUGGGAAACUGCCUGAUGGAGGGGGAUAACUACUGGAAACGGUAGCUAAUACCGCAUACCAUCAGAUGUGCCCAGAUGGGAUUAGCUAGUAGGUGGGGUAACGGCUCACCUAGGCGACGAUCCCUAGCUGGUCUGAGAGGAUGACCAGCCACACUGGAACUGAGACACGGUCCAGACUCCUACGGGAGGCAGCAGUGGGGAAUAUUGCACAAUGGGCGGAAGCCUGAUGCAGCGACGCCGCGUGGGGGAUGACGGCCUUCGGGUUGUAAACUCCUUUCACCAUCGACGCGGUAGAUGGAGAAGAAGCACCGGCUAACUCCGUGCCAGCAGCCGCGGUAAUUC
rnacentral:rRNA from 1 species